rnacentral:rRNA from 1 species
UGGAGAGUUUGAUCCUGGCUCAGGACGAACGCUGCGGCGUGCUUAACACAUGCAAGUCGAACGGAAAGGCCCUUCGGGGUACUCGAGUGGCGAACGGGUUGAUGUAACACGUGGGCAAUCUGCCCUGCACACCGGGAUAAGCCUGGGAAACUUGGGUCUAAUACCGGAUAGGACCACUUGGCGCAUGCCUUGUGGUGGAAAGCUUUUGCAGGUGUGGGAUGGGCCCGCGGCCUAUCAGCUUGUUGGUGGGGUGACGGCCUACCAAGGCGACGACGGGUAGCCGGCCUGAGAGGGUGUCCGGCCACACUGGGACUGAGAUACGGCCCAGACUCCUACGGGAGGCAGCAGUCGGGGAAUAUUGCACAAUGGGCGCAAGCCUGAUGCAGCGACGCCGCGUGGGGGAUGACGGGCUUCGGGUUGUAAACCUCUUUCACCAUCGACGAAGGUUCGGGUUUUCUCGGAUUGACGGAAGGCGAGAAGAAGCACCGGCCAACUACGUGCCAGCAGCGCGGUA